CCUCCAUCUCCUGCAGCUGGACCUUGAGCUCCUUGUUCUGCUGCUCCAGCUCCUGCCGAGCGUUCUCGAUCUUCUGGGCGUGGCUGCGCUCCAGGUUCAGAUAACUCCAAAAACAGAUUCCUCAAGCCAAAGCGCAGGACUAGGUGUGUGCAGCCAGACCACAGCAGCAGAACAUGCCAACAGCAGAGUAUCUGUGCCCCACAACCUUGCCCACAGUUAGCUUUUACAGAUUUUUUUUUUUUGCCCAGGCACAGCAGCUAACGCCUGUAAUCCCAGUCCUUUGGGAGGCCGAGGCUGUCAGAUCACGAGGUCAGGAGUUUGAGACUACCCUGGCCAACUCAGUGAACCACUGUCUCUACUAAAAAUACGAAAAUUAGCCAGGCAUGGGGACACGCACCUAUAAUCCCAGCUACUCAAGAGGCUGAGGCAAAAGAAUCGCCUGAACCCAAGAGGCAGAGGUUGUGGUGACUCAAGAUUGUGCCACUGCACUCCAGCCUGGGCAAAAGAGCAAGACACUGACUCAAAUGUAUUUUAAACCUAGGGUUAUUCUUGCUACAUAAUAUGACAUAUCAGAGCUGUUUUUAUGGUUCAUUAUUCUUCAAUUAUUGGUGACGUGAGAAUUUCCAAGUAUGUAUCCCACACUCUAGGCUGCUUCUCGAAACCAUCACGCCGGAGCCCAGAAGGCUGGAGCGUCAGGACGCGGCUGAUGCUGGAGUCUGCACUGGGUGAGGCCUUCUGAACUCCCCCAUGCCUGGGCCUGCACUUGCCUGUUUGCUUCUGUGUUUCAUGUACUCAGCCAUGCACCGUUCUGCAAGUUUGCUGUUGGACUAUUGUUUCCACUCACCUCUGAGCCUGUGUCUCCAUCAGUGAGAUUGGACUGGAAGCACCCAAAACCUCCCCAAGAGGCGCCACCCUGCCAGGUUCCCGCCCCAGCACCCUCGCAUGUAGCUGGCUCAGCUGGGCACCGCCCGCCCUCACCCGCCACUUCUGCAGCUGCUCGAUGGCUUCAUCUUGGUUCUUGUUGGCUGAGUCGAUGUGAGCCUCCAGGUCCAUCUCCAGCUUCUUCCGGGCGGCCACUGCCAUGGAGUGCCGCUUCCUCUCGUCCUCCAGCUCUGCCUCCAUCUCCCGCACCUGGAGGAAGGAACGCCGACAGCUUGGAAAGCUGGACCCACUCAGAGACCCUGCUCUGGCUCUGAACCCAGGUGCCUCUGCAGGAUCUGCGGGGCCUCCGGAAGCCAGUGGCGAUUACUGACUCGAAGAACUCUAAGAAGGUCCCGCUCGAACUGGAUCUUCAUGGCCUGCAGGUUGACCUCCAGCCGCAGAUUGGCGUUUUCAGUGUCCUGCAGCUCAUCCUCCAGCUCCUCCAGCUGGGUCUUCAACUCCUCCACCUGCUGCUCCAGAAGCCGCC